CCGAACUGUCGACACGAGUUGUUGCUGGUCCUCAAAUGUGGGGGCAUGUGCACGCUCUGUUUACAAAUCCACCCACACCUGUGCACCCUCAGUAGUUCUAUGGCGUGGAGGACACCGUCCUCUGGCCGUGGUUCUACAUCUUUACACACACACAGUGAUAAAGUCCAAUGGGAUGUAUGUAGCGUUUAACGCAAUAUAAUA
rnacentral:misc_RNA from 1 species